rnacentral:tRNA from 1 species
GUCACUUUGGUCGAGCGGUCUAAGACGUGGCACUCAAGAUGCUAUCCGAGUAAUUGGGCGUGGGUUCAAAUCCCACAGGUGACA